rnacentral:rRNA from 1 species
GACAGAGGGUGCAAACGUUGUUCGGAAUUACUGGGCGUAAAGCGAGUGUAGGCGGUUUGGUAAGUCGGAUGUGAAAGCCCCGGGCUCAACCCGGGAAGUGCACUCGAUACUACCAAGCUAGAGUAUUGGAGAGGGUAGUGGAAUUCCCGGUGUAGCGGUGAAAUGCGUAGAGAUCGGGAGGAACACCAGUGGCGAAGGCGGCUACCUGGACCAGCACUGACACUGAGGCACGAAAGCGUGGGGAGCAAACAGG